GCCUGGCGUACCGCAUACCGUACGUACCGACACUCGGUACGCCAUACUAGUGCAGCACCGGUACGGGGGUUCGGUACCGGUGCGGCGAACCUUGCCCGCAGAACUUUAUAUUGUUGAAAAUUUUGAAAUUCGGCACCUCUUCUUAUCAUCUUUAUGCUGUACAUUUGCAUAGUGACAGUGUUUCUGAUGUUUUUUUUGGGGCAGCUUAUCCAAGGAUAUGUAUGAUGAAAAUGAAGAUAUAUCAUACUCCUGGGUUAGAGAGUAUCAUUGGGAUGUAGAGGUGAUGAUGCUGAUGACCCCACAACAUACCUCGUUAAUUUUGACGACGAAUCUGCACGAAUUUGGUAAUAUUAGUUUUCUUCAUUAUCUUAGUGGGGGUUGAUGUGGUGGUCUUGAUUCAUAAUAAUUCUUGUUUUGCAGCUCUACCCACAAAGCUUGUUUUACAGAAGAAGAGGGCAAAAGAGGGAAGGUUUGGAGAUGAGAUCGAGCAUUUUCCUGGUGGCCUGCAAGGGUCACUGUGAGGGGGAGGUCAGCUGUUUGCUGUUGGAGAAUUGAAGGAAUCUGGAGAAACAUCUGUGAAAAAAAGAUCAAGUGGAUAUCAUGAGUUUAAAGCGGGGAAGGUUUUCAAGGGAUGAUGACUUUGAAAGACAGAAUAAACUUGCACGAGUGGAUGACAUGGAUCAGUUCAGCGGGGAGGAAGACAUGUAUGAUUAGUUGCUACCAAUGUGGCAACCACCUCAUCUAAAGAAUAUUUAUCUGUCAGAGAUGUAUAGUACUGGGCUAUUGCUAAUCCAGGCAGAGAUGGUGAAGCACAAGGUGAAGCACAUCGACCACCAUGGAUGUUAAAUGCAGAAGUCGAAAAAGGCGAGGUGGUGGUGUUCUCCAUUUGUUUGCUCCAAUCAAGGCAUGUGCUUACAAGUGAUGGUUGCCUUUUGUGGUCAUAAAUGAAACUUGUUUUCAAAUCUUGCAGGCAUAUACAAUUGUAACAUUACAUGAGUUAUUCAUAAAUAGAUGUCCUAUUCUGUUUUUUCCCCUUGGUUUCAUGUAAAUGCAGUGAACUUUUAGAGCCUCUUGUUAUAGUUUUAGACAAGGUCUGCUGUGCCGAAACCGGGGCCCGGACUGAUUGCUCAGUGGCACGGGUUGGUUCGCCCCCGUAUCAUUCCAUGCUGGGCCCGUAUCUACAUAGUAGAGGAGGAGGAGGAGGGUGAAUGGGAGAGAGGAAAAGAGAGAGAGAAGGAAGAGAGAGUGAGGGAGAGAGGAGGAUGGCGGAGGCUAGCAAGCCGCGCGAGGAGGCGAAGAAGGGUCUCCGCCUCCGGGUCCCCUGUUUUGUUUGAAACGAGGGCCUCGGAGGGGCUCCUUUUUAAUCUUGCGAUUUUUAAGUGAAGUUUGCCUCAUCCGCAUGGCUCGCUAGCCUCCGCGGCCCUGUCUCUUCCUUCCUCUCCUUCUCCCUCCCUCUCCCGCUCUCUCUUCCUCUCUUUCCUUCUCCCCCUUCGUCGACAAUUUUUCAUUUCAGUUACCGGAACCGUAUCGGUCCACCGCCAGUACGGCUCGAUACUAUCCAAACUGUCCAGUUCGGGACGUUCCGUCGACCAUGGUUUUAUAUGUCAUUUCUUAAUCACCUGCCGAUUCUUGCAACAAAGAUAAUCUGAUUUCAAAUUUUACUGAAUUAUGUACCUUUAAUGAGUAAGGUUUACUAGUUUGAACGUUUCUUAAAGUACAAAGCAAUAAAUUUGCGUUUUUUAAGAAAAAAUAGAUAAUGUAAUGGAGUGUUAUUGGAAAAUAAAUUUAUUUGUCUCGGAUAGUGAAGCAUAGUUGUUUAGUUGUUUGACUUCACCAAGGGAUAGUAAGGACUAUCAAAUGUGUAGAAACCUGAAAACAAUGAUUCUGUUACAUGCAUAUUAUAUGUAUAUUUUUUUGUAACAAUUGUUAGUUAAUGCUUCAUCAUUUUUCUUUUCAGGCUUUUUAAUUAAUGCUAGCAAUUCAUGGCUUCUGAUACUUUCUAAAUUAGCUGGCCGGAUGAGUGAAACAAUUAUAUAGGGGAAUUUUUCAUGACCCUACCGAGUAUUAGAGUUUUAGUUGAGAGAAUCCUUUGAUUAUAUUUCACUCUCCCUUUCUUAACUUCCCAGUUUUGCAGCCCCUUCAGCUUGCAAUUGUGCAGGGCGGCAUUUCAUGCACUUACUUGCCUGACAGAUGCAUGGUAAAAAGGUACUGCUCUGUAUGAUGCCUUCUAACAGAAACAACUUGCAAUGACACAUGUUAAGCAAGCAACUAGAUAUGCAUUAAAGAAGGUCAGACCCCAUAAGCACUACUAUGCUACUAAGUUAUUUUGUGAUGUUUUAUCGUUUUGACCUUUUAUUGUCUUGUGGUAGAAAACUAAGCAGGAGUGUCACCUCUGCUGGACAUACAUCACAUAUCAUUUUUUUUAUAAACAAAUGAUACUUUAUGUAUUAUACUGCAUUUAUUUCAAUUAAGGUCCAGAAGCACUACAGAAAAAGCCAAAAACAUUUCUUGAAGGAGCACCAUUUGUUGCAGUGCCUGGCUGAAUGUUUUUGGUCUUAAGUGUAAUUCUUUCUAAGGCCCACAGCUGGAAACUUUUUUUUUUUAAAUCUACCAGGCACAUGAUUGGUGUUAAGGUUAACUUAUGUGGUCCUAACUUUCUCAGCAUCAAAUCAAAUUAGUGCCCUCAACUUUAUCCAUUGUAUAUGAUGACUUGUUAUCUGUUGUUUCUUUUUCUAUUCUUUUUGUUUGAGUACAAAAGUAAUCACUUAUUUCAACAACUAAAAUGCUUUAUAUUCUGUAACAUUAGAUGCUGUAGUGUUGUGUUUGUUUUUCUCAAACUAACUAGUGUGUUGAAUUAUGUAACCUUAGGUGCAGGUAACUCUUGUUUGUCGUGGAUUAAAAUGGCAUCAGAUUUGAUAACCAGAUUCACGAAGGAGAGAACUAUUCUUUGCAAAUCAGGGUUGAGUAAAAAGAAAGGGGAAAAUGUUGAAUCAAGUCCAUGAUCAAUGAAUAGGUAAAUCCUUAAAAAGAGAACUAGGAAGCAAAUUGAAGUUUCAUUAGUUUUUGUUUUCUUGGGGAAUGAUCUGAAUGUUACAUAAAUUGAAGAGAAUCUGAAACCUAAUUCAAACUUCUGAUUUAACUUGCCUAAUCAUAACCUUUGAACUGAUUUUAAAGAAAGCUAAUAAAGGCAGCUGUGCCCCUGAUUCUGUAGAACACUUCAACAUUGUCAGAACUUGGUCCUAACAUAAUUGUUUGGUGCUUAUAACACAUCUAAAGAGGCAUUUACUUCAGAAAUUUGAAAAUACAUAUAACAUUUGCUAAGGUGAUUGCUUAGGUGUCAAAAGCAGUAUUUGCCUGAUGAAUGGAGGAACUCGACAUCAAUUUCAUUUGAAGAAGGUAGAUGCAACGUCUAUGUAUCUCCUGCAGAAUCAAACUAAUGAACCACAAUGUGAAACUUUAGGAUAGCAUAGUGGGAAGGUGAUUAUGGGAGGUGAUUUUCUUUUUCCCUGACCAUCAGUUCAUAAUUUGGACAAAAGAGAAGAAAUUGUUGCAAGUGCUAAACUACUUGCAAGUAGGCCUGUAAAAAUCCAGCUGCAGGAAUUUUUAAGGUGCUUAAGUUCAAAAUUUGGUUAAUUACUAUAAUGAGACCAUAUUUCAUAUUUCAUAAACUAUCCUGCUAAAACAUGAAUGAGCAAAUCACUAAAAUAGUUUAAGGGGCAAGCUCCUCUGCUUAAUUGAAUAUAUAUCUAUUGUUGAAUGUGCUAAUAUUUUGCACGUGCAAUGCAUGUGCUAGAGAUUGGAAACAGAUAGCCUCAUGGCCCUUUUCUCUUAAAAAAGUAAAAAUAAGGAUUUUAGGAGUCUAGGAGAGUGGAGUCCAAGGUUUGCCGUACUGGUUGGUACCAGUUGUAGCGUUCAUGUUAUAUCAUACCGGUACCAAACCGGUAUCGUACAAGGGGUGUACCGAUAUUUGGUACAUCGAAUCGGACCCUGUACUAGGCAUAACAAUACUAUAAUAGGAUGGUACCGGUACAGGGUCUGCGAACCUUGGUGGAGUUGAACUUAGGGGUUGGAGACACGCACCCUAGAGUUUGCGUUAUGAUAAUAGAGAUUAGUAAUUUGCUAAAGUUGUAGUUACAUAAGUACCUUUUCUAUGAUGAGUUGCUUCUAAAUUGGGGAACAAAAUAGCUAAUGCACAGAUAGUUAUCUUCUACAUAAUGCCUUUCAUAAGUGAUGCGGAUUACAAUAGCAUACAUCUGGCAGUUUUUUUUAGCAAAACGGUGGACCACCAACAGCAUACCAUCUGGCAGUAUUCAUUGCAUGCUUUAUAUGGAGUUAGAAACAUCAGGUCUGAUAGUUUGUUAAUCAAAUUCAGGUCUUUAUUUUUGAGUUUCUAUAGUAAAUCUCACUUGUAAACAGGGUAUAUCAGACAACCAUGCAAAGCUGGUGUUCUCUGUUAGUUGUUACAGUGGCACGGUACAUGAUCAUUCUCCACCACAGUGAUUUAGGGUUGAUUAAGAAGCCAUUUCUAGUGUUAUGCAGCAACCUCUUGGGAUUUUAGGUAGAAUCUUAUUCUAGUUCUGCAUUGAAGCUUCGGUACGUGUCGCCUACACCAUUGGCUUCUAUAAGCUUGAUAUCAUCGUUGUUAAAAUCUAGAAUUUGUGACUUGGUGUCUUCCAAUCCAGAUUAAAAUGGUGCUAAAUGUUCUGGAUCCCAUCGCUGGGAUCAAGAUUAGUGUAGGAUCACAAGAUGUAGAUCCACGUAAUGGGACUAUUCAUUCCUUUGGGUCAUAGAUCCAGUUUGAUUAUGUUAAUGCAUAUUAAAUCAUGCGUAGGUCUAUUUUGUAUAAUUUAUGUGGCUAUGUGGCUUUUAAUUAAUUAUCACCAGCAAUUGUCAAGUAGUAAAAUUAGCAAGUUUGAUUAUUGGACCUCAGCUUUAAAAAUGAGUUGCAAAUAUUUGUAUUUUUACCAGCCAUAUGUUAAAAACUUGACAUUUUCUUUAAAAAAUAAUUCUAACCGAAAAGGUUAAUUAAAUUGAUAGAUAGUAUAUAAUUUUUUUUGAAUAACCAAACAAAAUAUUUAUUUCAUUGGACAUACUACAUAUGCGGGGGUCUCUGAUUGACGAGUUGAGUGUAUCGCUUUUUAUUCUCCAUUCAUUUUACUUUACAAUUGACUCAUGCUUCAAUUUUCACCAUUUCUUUUAUAUCUAAAAAGUUUUCUAAAGAAUUCAGAAAGAAUCUUAUGUUCUACUACCUGAUCAUGGUUCAAUCUGAUCUGCCCCCUUCUACAAUUACAAACUCGAUCCUGAUCUUCACAACAGUUAUCCAUAACCAUAAAUGGUUUUAUGUCCAAAUUUUUAUGGGACUUCGAUAAGUUCAUAGUUUUUUAAACCAGCUUAAUGUUAUUGGUACAUGUGAUGAUAUGAUGGAAACUGUGCAGAAAUGUGGCAUGACUUUUUUCUGAGCCAAAUAAUUACACUUGUUGAGAAAUUUGGCGGAAUGAUCCUUCAGAAAAAGAACUGCUAGUCUUCACAAAUAUGCAGUGUAUCAUGUUGCAAUCACUUGGAGGUUGGUGGUGUAGUUACUGGUUCCCUAAUAUUUUUCAAACUCACAUAACAGAAAAUUUCAGACAUAGUAGCCUGGAAUAACUCUGGCGGUGGUCUUUUCAGAGAUCAGAAAUUUGCGUUUCUUUGCAACAUUUGUUUGAAGAAGGGAUUCACAUCACUGCAGGAGGGACUAUUCAUAUCACAGCGCAUUUUACUAUGUUAUUCACUCUUGCGGUUGGAAUUGAAAUUACAUUAAUAAAUAGCUGUUUACUACUGACUGUAUGAUUAUUUUUUCAUUUUUAGUGGAUAAAAAUAUCUUGGGUUCUCAUUGAAUCAAUUGAAGAGUGAAUUCCAGCUGCAGUUUCUAGUG